rnacentral:rRNA from 1 species
GAUGAACGCUGGCGGCGUGCCUAACACAUGCAAGUCGAGCGAUUUGCUUCGGUAAAGAGCGGCGGACGGGUGAGUAACGCGUGGGUAACCUGCCCUGUACACACGGAUAACAUACCGAAAGGUAUGCUAAUACGAGAUAAUAUACUUUUAUCGCAUGGUAGAAGUAUCAAAGCUUUUGCGGUACAGGAUGGACCCGCGUCUGAUUAGCUAGUUGGUAAGGUAACGGCUUACCAAGGCGACGAUCAGUAGCCGACCUGAGAGGGUGAUCGGCCACAUUGGAACUGAGACACGGUCCAAACUCCUACGGGAGGCAGCAGUGGGGAAUAUUGCACAAUGGGCGAAAGCCUGAUGCAGCAACGCCGCGUGAGCGAUGAAGGCCUUCGGGUCGUAAAGCUCUGUCCUCAAGGAAGAUAAUGACGGUACUUGAGGAGGAAGCCCCGGCUAACUACGUGCCAGCAGCCGCCGUAAAAC